GAUGAAGAACGUAGCGAAACGCGAUAUGUAAUGUGAAUUGCAGAAUUCAGUGAAUCAUCGAAUCUUUGAACGCACAUGGCGCCUUCCAGUAUCCUGGGAGGCAUGCCUGUCCGAGCGUCGUUUCAACCCUCGAGCCCCCGUGGCCCGGCGUUGGGGAUCUGCCCAGGCAGUCCCCGAAAACCAGUGGCGGACCCAUUACAGGCCCUUCCCUUGCGUAGUAGCAUUCGCCUCGCAUCGGGAGCCGGCGGGCUUCCAGCCUCUAAACCCCCAUCAAGUCCGCCCCGGCGGCACCAAGGUUGACCUCGGAUCAGGUAGGAAUACCCGCUGAACUUAAGCAUAUCAAUAAGCGGAGGA
rnacentral:misc_RNA from 1 species